AACGCUGGCGGCGUGCCUAAUACAUGCAAGUCGAACGGUCUUUUCUAUGGAAGCUUGCUUCCGCUGAGAAGAUAGUGGCGAACGGGUGAGUAACACGUGGGUAACCUGCCCAUAAGAGGGGGAUAACAUCCGGAAACGGGUGCUAAUACCGCAUAGUUUUCUUGAUCGCAUGAUUGAGAAAGGAAAGACGGCCUUUGUGCUGUCGCUUAUGGAUGGACCCGCGGCGUAUUAGUUAGUUGGUGAGGUAACGGCUCACCAAGACGAUGAUACGUAGCCGACCUGAGAGGGUGAUCGGCCACAUUGGGACUGAGACACGGCCCAAACUCCUACGGGAGGCAGCAGUAGGGAAUCUUCCGCAAUGGACGAAAGUCUGACGGAGCAACGCCGCGUGAGUGAAGAAGGUUUUCGGAUCGUAAAACUCUGUUGUCAGAGAAGAACAAGUUGGAGAGUAACUGCUCCAGCCUUGACGGUAUCUGACCAGAAAGCCACGGCUAACUACGUG
rnacentral:rRNA from 1 species